AUUGAACGCUAGCGGUAUGCUUUACACAUGCAAGUCGAACGAGUGGCGGACGGGUGAGUAAUAUAUCGGAACGUUCCCUGUCGCGGGGGAUAACUUCUCGAAAGUUUCGCUAAUACCGCAUACUAUUGGAUCGGCCGAUUUCGGAGUCGCUAGUUGGUGGGGUAAAGGCGCACCAAGGCAACGAUCCGUAGCUGGUUUGAGAGGACGAGCAGCCACACUGGGACUGAGACACGGCCCAGACUCCUACGGGAGGCAGCAGUGGGGAAUUUUGGACAAUGGGGGAAACCCUGAUCCAGCCAUCCCGCGUGUAUGAGAAGGCCUUCGGGUUGUAAAGUACUUUUGGCAGAAAAGCGGUAUCUGAAGAAUAAGCACCGGCUAACUACGUGCCAGCAGCCGCGGUAAUGC
rnacentral:rRNA from 1 species